GAUCAACGCUGGCGGCGCACCUAAGACAUGCAAGUUGAACGGACUUAAUCGAAAUAUUUAUAUUUUGAAGCGGUUAGUGGCGGACUGGUGAGUAACGCGUAAGGAACCUGCCUAUUAGAGGGGAAUAACAGUGAGAAAUCAUUGCUAAUACCGCAUAUGCCAUAGAUAUCACAUGAUAACAGUGGGAAAGGAGCAAUCCGCUAAUAGAUGGCCUUGCGUCUGAUUAGAUAGUUGGUGGGGUAACGGCCUACCAAGUCGACGAUCAGUAGCCGGACUGAGAGGUUGAACGGCCACAUUGGGACUGAGAUACGGCCCAGACUCCUACGGGAGGCAGCAGUCGGGAAUAUUGCGCAAUGGAGGAAACUCUGACGCAGUGACGCCGCGUAUAGGAAGAAGGUUUUCGGAUUGUAAACUAUUGUCGUUAGGGAAGAGAAAGGACAGUACCUAAGGAGGAAGCUCCGGCUAACUACGUG
rnacentral:rRNA from 1 species